rnacentral:lncRNA from 1 species
GGCGUGGCUCCAAAAGGAGCUUCAUGUUAUCUGAGAAAAGAUCUCUAGACUUGGGUGCUCGAGGAACGUGGCUGCCAAAUACAGGUCGAGAAAAAAUUAGCUAAUGAUCAUAAGGUCCCAGAGCUUGGUCAGACAAGGACUAGUUGACCCCACAUCUUUAGAUGACCCAGUCCGAUGCAUAUUCGAUGCGGACUACACGAUUGGCUUUAGGACGUGCAAGAAUCAAAUCAGGAUAGCGUUCCCAGAACUUGAUCUUUCCAACUUCUCAUUUGAAGGCGACACUGAGCCUUCCACCUUUCAGUG